CACGUAGGGCGCAAGCGUUGUCCGGAAUUAUUGGGCGUAAAGAGCUCGUAGGCGGUCUGUUGCGUCCGCUGUGAAAACUCGGGGCUUAACCCCGAGCCUGCAGUGGAUACGGGCAGACUAGAGGUAGGUAGGGGAGAAUGGAAUUCCCGGUGUAGCGGUGAAAUGCGCAGAUAUCAGGAGGAACACCUAUUGCGAAGGCAGCUCGCUGGGACGUAACUGACGCUGAGACGCGAAAGCGUGGGGAGCAAACAGG
rnacentral:rRNA from 1 species